rnacentral:lncRNA from 1 species
UCUACUCCGAAUCCCUCGGCAGCACAAUCGCGCUAUUAAUCACUCUCCAAUACCGCGACUCACUGGAAAAUGUCUCAUCCGUGAACCGAGCGUGAACUCUGAUUAUGGUAUCAUCCUCUUCGGGGGUGAAGGCCUGAUGCUCCACCUGCGGGGAGACACCAUCGGAACCUGCAAAAAAUGGGUUGGUUCAUGAACCUGUAAUGAAGAACAAAGCAAAAGAAAAUCAGGGAAAAGGUAGAUAUAACAACGGUAGGGAUUAGGCAACGAUGGUGGUGGUUCUACGACGUAGAAAGAGGUGAAGAGGGUUGGCUAUGGCGGCGAUAAGGUAGCGUGAAGAGGAGGGUCUCUGACGCAGUAGGCUCUGGUUCGAGGCCGAUGGUAAUGGUGGUGAGGAGAAGCUGGCGCGGUGCUCCUGGGCUCGGCGUAGGUCUGCGACGUUGCUGGCGGAGAAGGGGGUGAAUAGUGAUAAGGAGGGUGAUAUGGUGGUAUGUGGUUGAUGUUGGAAUUGGGUGGCUGAGAAAAAUGAGAGAGAGAGAGAGAGAGAGAGAGAGAGAGAAAGAAGGGAGGAGAUGAUAGUGGUGGAGAGAAUGGUAGUUUAAGAAUUUUAUUUAAUUUUUUAGGGUUUGGAUAAUUUUGCUUACAAAAAAUUAUUUUUUUUAUGGAUACAAAUGGUACUUUUCAUCUUCUAUGGGUAGAUAUGUCAGCGUUUUCAACUUUCGUGGAUGGAAAUGGUAGUUUACUCUUUUUCUAGAGUUGAACACAUGACUUAACACAUUUAGACAUGAAUGAUCUACUUGAUGGUUAUGCUAAAACGUGAUCUUGGAUGAUGAUGAGAGUUCAAAUAUGGUGAGAAUGGCUAUUGCUCCUUCUUGAGUUUCCUCUCACUCAUCACUCUCCAUUUAGCUUCUUGGAGAAAAUGGAAGAAAUAAAGGAAAGAAAAAAGAUGAGUAUGUGUGCACACAAGAGGGAGGAAAAACUUCACCCUUGGAUAUUUUGUAUCGUAUUUUGCUUUUUUUAACAAAGUCUCUUCUACUAUGCCUAAAAUUUAUUUGUAAGAUUCAAAAAUAAAGGGGUGAGUCUCACCUUAUUCCAAUACUACUUUUAGACAAAUUUAGCAGAAGUUCUAUCGGCAUCAAAAAGUUCUCCUUUCAACAAACCGAAUUGUCUAAUUCGAAUUUGAAUUCGUAUAAUGAACUAAGCCAAUUUUUUCUUAUUUUAUCUUCACUUAAUUUUAAUCAUCAAGCAUGAAGUAGCAAUUAUUUGAAAUUAUAACAUAAGCUGAUCUAUUUAUAAUUUAUAAAAAAUUUCGAAGGUCGAAAGUACAAUUAUUUUUCUUCUAUUUAUAUCAGAUUAAGCUUAAUAUUUUCCUCCAAUGAAAUAAAAAAUAUUUUUAACUAGAAUAAAUAAAUANNNNNNNNNNNNNNNNNNNNNNGAACCGAGCGUGAGCUCUGAUUAUGGUGUCGUCCUCUUCGGGGGUGAAGGCCUGAUGCUCCACCUGCGGGGAGACACCAUCGGAACCUGCAAAAAAUGGGUUGGUUCAUGAACCUGUAAUGAAGAACAAAGCAAAAGAAAAUCAGGGAAAAGGUAGAUAUAACAACGGUAGGGAUUAGGCAACGAUGGUGGUGGUUCUACGACGUAGAAAGAGGUGAAGAGGGUUGGCUAUGGCGGCGAUAAGGUAGCGUGAAGAGGAGGGUCUCUGACGCAGUAGGCUCUGGUUCGAGGCCGAUGGUAAUGGUGGUGAGGGCGCGGUGGCGCGGUGCUCCUGGGCUCGGCGUAGGUCUGCGACGUUGCUGGCGGAGAAGGGGGUGAAUAGUGAUAAGGAGGGUGAUAUGGUGGUAUGUGGUUGAUGUUGGAAUUGGGUGGCUGAGAAAAAUGAGAGAGAGAGAGAGAGAGAGAGAGAGAGAGAAAGGAGGGAGGAGAUGAUAGUGGUGGAGAGAAUGGUAGUUUAAGAAUUUUAUUUAAUUUUUUAGGGUUUGGAUAAUUUUGCUUACAAAAAAUUAUUUUUUUUAUGGAUACAAAUGGUACUUUUCAUCUUCUAUGGGUAGAUAUGUCAGCGUUUUCAACUUUCGUGGAUGGAAAUGGUAGUUUACUCUUUUUCUAGAGUUGAACACAUGACUUAACACAUUUAGACAUGAAUGAUCUACUUGAUGGUUAUGCUAAAACGUGAUCUUGGAUGAUGAUGAGAGUUCAAAUAUGGUGAGAAUGGCUAUUGCUCCUUCUUGAGUUUCCUCUCACUCAUCACUCUCCAUUUAGCUUCUUGGAGAAAAUGGAAGAAAUAAAGGAAAGAAAAAAGAUGAGUAUGUGUGCACACAAGAGGGAGGAAAAACUUCACCCUUGGAUAUUUUGUAUCGUAUUUUGCUUUUUUUAACAAAGUCUCUUCUACUAUGCCUAAAAUUUAUUUGUAAGAUUCAAAAAUAAAGGGGUGAGUCUCACCUUAUUCCAAUACUACUUUUAGACAAAUUUAGCAGAAGUUCUAUCGGCAUCAAAAAGUUCUCCUUUCAACAAACCGAAUUGUCUAAUUCGAAUUUGAAUUCGUAUAAUGAACUAAGCCAAUUUUUUCUUAUUUUAUCUUCACUUAAUUUUAAUCAUCAAGCAUGA